rnacentral:rRNA from 1 species
CGGGUUUAGAUAUAUGGAAGAACACCAGUGGCGAAGGCGGCUCUCUGGUCUGCAACUGACGCUGAGGCUCGAAAGCCCAUGGGUAGCGAACAGGAUUUAGAUACCCUGGUAGUCCAUGGGCCGUAAACGAUGAGUGCUAAGUGUUGGGAAACGGUUUCCGCCUCUCACGUGCUGCAGCACUAACGCAUUAAGCACUCCGCCUGGGGAGUACGACCGCAAGGUUGAAACUCAAAGGAAUAUGACGGCGGGCCCGGCACAAGCGGUGGAGCAUGUGGUUUAAUUCGAAGCAACGCGAAGAACCUUACCAGGUCUUGACAAAU